rnacentral:piRNA from 1 species
GACACAAGGCCAGGACAGAGUAAUGAG